UGGGGAAUAUUGCACAAUGGGCGCAAGCCUGAUGCAGCCAUGCCGCGUGUAUGAAGAAGGCCCUCGGGUUGUAAAGUACUUUCAGCGGGGAGGAAGGGAGUAAAGUUAAUACCUUUGCUCAUUGACGUUACCCGCAGAAGAAGCACCGGCUAACUCCGUGCCAGCAGCCGCGGUAAUACGGAGGGUGCAAGCGUUAAUCGGAAUUACUGGGCGUAAAGCGCACGCAGGCGGUUUGUUAAGUCAGAUGUGAAAUCCCCGGGCUCAACCUGGGAACUGCAUCUGAUACUGGCAAGCUGGAGUCUCGUAGAGGGGGGUAGAAUUCCAGGUGUAGCGGUGAAAUGCGUAGAGAUCUGGAGGAAUACCGGUGGCGAAGGCGGCCCCCUGGACGAAGACUGACGCUCAGGUGCGAAAGCGUGGGGAGCAAACAGG
rnacentral:rRNA from 1 species